rnacentral:lncRNA from 1 species
CCUCUUGUGGCCUGAAGGAGACGUAAGCAACAUGGAAUGACAAGGUAGAAAGAAUGGUGUGAAGAUCCGAUUGAUCCUCAAUCAAAUCUUCAAGUGGGAGAUUGUAAGUCAAAUAACACGUUUUUCAUAAUGGACGGUGAUGGACGGUGAAGUUGGACGCUGAAGGAGGUGAUUUUGUCAAUAAUUAUGGCUUUCACAUGUUUAAACUUCUUCUAUAAAAGGAGAGCUAAGCUGAAGAGGAAAGCAUCCCAAAAUAAAAAUCACAAAGAGAAGUGAAGAAGAAGAAGAAGAACGUGAGAGAGAGAGAGAGAAAAAAAAAAUCUAUAAUCUCUUACGGGUAUUUGGGAUCGGGUUGAGAGAAAAUUAUUUAG